UUGAACGCUGGCGGCAGGCCUCACACAUGCAAGUCGAGCGGAUGAAGGGAGCUUGCUCCUGGCUUCAGCGGCGGACGGGUGAGUAAUGCCUAGGAAUCUGCCUGGUAGUGGGGGAUAACGUCCGGAAACGGGCGCUAAUACCGCAUACGUCCUGAGGGAGAAAGUGGGGGAUCUUCGGACCUCACGCUAUCAGAUGAGCCUAGGUCGGAUUAGCUAGUUGGUGGGGUAAAGGCCUACCAAGGCGACGAUCCGUAACUGGUCUGAGAGGAUGAUCAGUCACACUGGAACUGAGACACGGUCCAGACUCCUACGGGAGGCAGCAGUGGGGAAUAUUGGACAAUGGGCGAAAGCCUGAUCCAGCCAUGCCGCGUGUGUGAAGAAGGUCUUCGGAUUGUAAAGCACUUUAAGUUGGGAGGAAGGGCAGUAAGUUAAUACCUUGCUGUUUUGACGUUACCAACAGAAUAAGCACCGGCUAACUUCGUG
rnacentral:rRNA from 1 species